rnacentral:sRNA from 1 species
ACCCUAUCCGGAGCUUCUGCGGGAAGCUGCGGUCUCUGGCCAGCACGCUGGACUGCGAGACGGCCCGGCUGCAGCGAGCGCUGGACGGAGAGGAAAGCGACUUUGAAGAUUAUCCAAUGAGAAUUUUAUAUGACCUUCAUUCAGAAGUUCAGACUCUAAAGGAUGAUGUUAAUAUUCUUCUUGAUAAAGCAAGAUUGGAAAAUCAAGAAGGCAUUGAUUUCAUAAAGGCAACAAAAGUACUAAUGGAAAAAAAUUCAAUGGAUAUUAUGAAAAUAAGAGAGCAUUUCCAGAAGUAUGGAUAUAGUCCACGUGUCAAGAAAAAUUCAGGUUUGAAUAACUUCAUUUUAAAGCAUUUGUUUUAGUAUUGAGGGAACAAGGCACAUGAUUAACUCAGACAACU